UUAUUAUAGAUUUCUUUCUUUUCAUUUUCUGAAAGUUUUGUAUUUUGUCUUAGAAUACCUUGGAAUGCGAUGUUAAUGAGAACAGUUUCAGACUACUGUAUGUUUAGAUAAGCACUGGAUAUUGAAGAAGAAGCAUGAUAUGGAGGACUCCGGAAUGCAUGAAACCAUCUGUACUUUCUUACGGAUUUUGCUUUCUUUUUCCUCUCAUCUGUAGUCCAGAAGGUGUGGAGAGUUGAUGGGCGUGAAUCUGAUAAUGGUUGAUCAAAAGCCGCAGUCAACAAAGCAACAUAGCUUCUGUUCAGGCUCCGAGACACUGAAACCGCCGUCAUGUAUCCUAUGGCAUUCACAACCCUUCUGUAUUCAGAUCCAUGAUCAAUUUGAUGGGGUGGUGGUGAUGACGGUGGCAGAGGAGGGGUUGCAGUGGUGGUGCUCAUGAAGAGCAUAUCGGGCAUGGAGAAUCAGAAGAUGGCGAGGGACCGGAGAAGAUGUGGAAUGGUUCGUCGACCAGUGACAUGGAACAGAUGGAUCUGGGACUAUUCUAAUGAUCACCACUAUUCUAUUUAACUGGGAUUGCUUUCAUACGUAAGUUGUUGUUUAUCAUAGUUUUAAGAAUAUUUGUCUGUGUUUAAGAUUUAAGAUUACACUUUUUGGUUUUAACCUUAUCACAAACUCAGUCCAAAACAUGGAGAAUUCUUUUUUACCAAAU